rnacentral:lncRNA from 1 species
UGUGUCGGGGUUCUGAUGCUCCGGCCUGACCUCUUCACGGGAUCGACGGGAACGUCUCUGGAUGCCAGCAGUCGCAAAGGGCUUACCAGGAUGACGGAACCCCAGGGGGAGUCCGGGCAUUGGAAAACGUGGCUUGGUCAAGCACAGGCGCCCGAACUGCCCGGGUCCCAGGUAGUCUUCGAUUUUCGUUGGCAUUGAUGGAAAGGUCACUCGGUCCCCCCUUCCGCCGGCACAUGCCUGGCCACCACCGUUUGUUUCGCCGUCGCCCUGUAUGCCUCCG